rnacentral:rRNA from 1 species
GGAGGAAAAGAAACUAACAAGGAUUCCCCUAGUAACGGCGAGUGAAGCGGGAUGAGCUCAAAUUUAAAAUCUGGCGGUCUCAGAUCGUCCGAGUUGUAGUCUAGAGAAGCGUUUUCCGUGCUGGCCUGUGUACAAGUCCGUUGGAACACGGCGUCAUAGAGGGUGAGAAUCCCGUCCUUGACACAGAUCUCCAGUGCUUUGUGAUGCGCUCUCAAAGAGUCGAGUUGUUUGGGAAUGCAGCUCAAAAUGGGUGGUAAAUUCCAUCUAAAGCUAAAUAUUGGCGAGAAACCGAUAGCGAACAAGUACCGUGAGGGAAAGAUGAAAAGCACUUUGGAAAGAGAGUUAAACAGUACGUGAAAUUGUUGAAAGGGAAACGAUUGAAGUCAGUCAUGCUUUCCGAGACUCAGCCGGCUCUGCCGGUGUACUUCUCGGUUUGCAGGCCAGCAUCAGUUUUGGGCGGUGGAAAAGGUUGGCGGGAAUGUGGCAUCCUCGGAUGUGUUAUAGCCCGCUUUCGAAUACAUCGCCCGGGACUGAGGAACGCAGCACGCCUCUUGUAGGUCGGUCUUCGGACACGUCCGUGCUUAGGAUGCUGGCAUAAGG